CUACGGAGGGGACUAGCGUUGUUCGGAAUUACUGGGCGUAAAGCGUACGUAGGCGGAUCAGAAAGUAUGGGGUGAAAUCCCAGGGCUCAACCCUGGAACUGCCUCAUAAACUCCUGGUCUUGAGUUCGAGAGAGGUGAGUGGAAUUCCGAGUGUAGAGGUGAAAUUCGUAGAUAUUCGGAGGAACACCAGUGGCGAAGGCGGCUCACUGGCUCGAUACUGACGCUGAGGUACGAAAGUGUGGGGAGCAAACAGGAUUAGAAACCCUAGUAGUCC
rnacentral:rRNA from 1 species